rnacentral:rRNA from 1 species
GACGAACGCUGGCGGCGUGCUUAACACAUGCAAGUCGAACGGAAAGGCCCUGCUUUUGUGGGGUGCUCGAGUGGCGAACGGGUGAGUAACACGUGAGUAACCUGCCCUUGACUUUGGGAUAACUUCAGGAAACUGGGGCUAAUACCGGAUAGGAGCUCCUGCUGCAUGGUGGGGGUUGGAACGUUUCGGCGGUUGGGGAUGGACUCGCGGCUUAUCAGCUUGUUGGUGGGGUAGUGGCUUACCAAGGCUUUGACGGGUAGCCGGCCUGAGAGGGUGAACGGCCACAAUGGGACUGAGAUACGGCACAGAAUCCUACGGGAGGCAGCAGUGGGGAAUAUUGCACAAUGGGCGGAAGCCUGAUGCAGCAACGCCGCGUGCGGGAUGACGGCCUUCGGGUUGUAAACCGCUUUCGCCUGUGACGAAGCGUGAGUGACGGUAAUGGGUAAAGAAGCACCGGCUAACUACGUG